UAUAUAUAUAUAUAUAGUUUCAAUUGUUGAUCAUACUCUUCUGAUCAUACGCGUGGUGUCCCACCUAGUAUCUGUUGCUGUGCUCGUUUUGAUGACUUGAAUGGUAAAUUUAAUCUUCCCUUGCUUUAUAAGGUGUCUGUGUUAUGGAAGGGUAAUAUCAAUGAUGAACAAGUUCAAGGCUGAAAUAUGCUUCUCUUGGGGUGAUGAGAAAGAAUUCAAUCCUGGCAAGAUUUAUGGAUUGGGGAGUGCUCACUUGCUAGCCAUCCCAUCUGUAGUCAGGGUCGCCAAGGACUUGGAGGCAACCAUUGACAGUUGCGUCUCUUUUGUAGGCGAUUCAGUUAUGUGGGCUCACUGGGUGGAAGAAACUUAAUUGAUGAGGAAGCAGAAUAUGCUCGAUUAUUGGAUUGAUGCAUCAUAUUAGGUGGAAUCCAAGUGAGAAGAAUACUAUGGCAUGGCCAUGGGACAGAUCGGGGAAGUUCACGGUUCGUUCCUUUUUCGUUCCUUUUAUGCUUCACAGUGUGACUUGGGCCCGAGUGAAGGUAAUGAGAAGUAAUCCUUCGUAUGGUCGUGUGGGGCUUCCCCAAAAGUGGCAGUGUUUACGUAGUUGGUGGGGAAAAAUAGGAUUUUUACCACUGACAACCUUCAGAAGAGGUCGAUAAUUAUUCCUAAUUGCCAUGUACUAUGCUACAGGGGAACAAACGGUGGACCACCUAUUUUAUACAUUGCACCUUUGCUCAAGGGGUGGGAGAGGUUCAUUACUCUCUUUCGCACAGAGUGAGUAAUGCUGGGAUCCAUUGCUGAUCUUCUACUAGCGUGGCCGGGUGGUGGCAGUGGCAUGGAGA